rnacentral:lncRNA from 1 species
UUCCUCUGCAUUAUUCCCCAUAAACUUAUCACGUGACAACGUUCCCUUUAUUGCUGAGUGUGGGCUCCACCAUUUCCAUUUUCUUUGCUUGAACCGAAUCGAGUUGUUGAGUGUGGGCGCCACCUGAACUGGCUUAAGUUCUCCACAUGUUUUCAUCUUUCUUUGCUUGAACCAAACAUUGUUUCCCUCUCUCUUUGCUUGAAUCAAACUAGGUCAACCUGCUUCAUUGGGCCUAAUCGGUCCAACUGCUCCACAUGUUUCUAUCUUUGAACCAGAUUUCUCUUUUUCUUUACUUGAACCGAACCGAUUAUAGUUGAGUGUGAGCUCUAACCCAAACCAGCUCAAGUUUUCUUAUUUCGUUGCUUGGGCUCCCUUUUAUGAUGUUUUUAUUUUUCAAUUUUACCUACCUGGGAUUCUAUCCAGUAUUUUUUUUCUUUUUAAUUAACGUAAUUUUUUUUUCGGGAAUGUAACGAUGAUUUGGAAUGGUUGUUCUACGUUUGUUGGCUUUUGUGUUGCUUUCGUGCUACUGUAUGU